GACGAACGCUGGCGGCGUGCCUAAUACAUGCAAGUUGAGCGAUGAAGAUUGGUGCUUGCACCAAUUUGAAGAGCAGCGAACGGGUGAGUAACGCGUGGGGAAUCUGCCUUUGAGCGGGGGACAACAUUUGGAAACGAAUGCUAAUACCGCAUAACAACUUUAAACAUAAGUUUUAAGCUUGAAAGAUGCAAUUGCAUCACUCAAAGAUGAUCCCGCGUUGUAUUAGCUAGUUGGUGAGGUAAAGGCUCACCAAGGCGAUGAUACAUAGCCGACCUGAGAGGGUGAUCGGCCACAUUGGGACUGAGACACGGCCCAAACUCCUACGGGAGGCAGCAGUAGGGAAUCUUCGGCAAUGGACGAAAGUCUGACCGAGCAACGCCGCGUGAGUGAAGAAGGUUUUCGGAUCGUAAAACUCUGUUGGUAGAGAAGAACGUUGGUGAGAGUGGAAAGCUCAUCAAGUGACGGUAACUACCCAGAAAGGGACGGCGAACUACGU
rnacentral:rRNA from 1 species